GGAAGCAUCCUAAAUACCCUAAAUACACCAAAUUCCACCUAAUCUUGGGAAGUUUAGCAGGGCAGCCCUGGUUAGUACUUGGAUGGGAGACAAUCAAUGAACACCAGGCACUGUAUGUA
rnacentral:rRNA from 1 species